rnacentral:lncRNA from 1 species
AAGCAGGCUCCAGGCUCCGAGCUGUCAGCACAGAGCCCGACGCGGGGCUCCAACUCAUGGAGUGUUCUUGAGAUCAUGACCUGAGCUGAAGUCUGGCGCACAACCGACUGAGCCACCCAGGCGCCCCAAGAUGUAGUGUCUUAAAAGGAGAGAUGUGAUGGGGAAAAAGUUGAAUCCAAAAAGGAGGAUGGAGAGAGUGGAGGGAAGGUGGCUAGGGAAGGCCUCACUGAGAAGGAAGGGGACAUCUGGGCACAGCCCUGAAGGAGGGGAGGGAGGAGCCAAGGGAUAUCUGGGGGGAAGAGCAUUCCAGGCAGCAAGAAAAGCCAGUGCAAAGGCCCUGAGGUGGGAGCAGGCAUGGAGUGUGAGAGGAACGGGGGACGAUGGUGCAGUCAGAGCAGAGUGAGCAAAGCAGGGAGGAGAGGAGAGGGCGGAGAGUCACCUGCGGGCCCUGCCGGCUGCUUGGAGGAUGUGGGUUUUCCUGGCACUCUUCCCUCUUGUCAUGGCAGCUCAGCAGACAUGCGUCAGUACCUGCUGCCCCUGGCGCUUUGCUGAGGGUCCUCCUGUGCACCAUGACAUCCAGUCUCAAAAUACAGUCAUUAUCCCCAUUUUGUAGAUGAGAAAACAGAGGCGCUAGCAUGUCAGGUAAACCCUGAGGGAUAAGAAGAGAUUCAUCUGGAAAAAGGUAUGUGUGGGGUGGGGAGGGCCCAAGGCUGUCUGAUGAUGGUCUCAGGGAGGAGACAGCGAGGCCUCUGCCACACAGAAGGAAACCGGCCUUUCUGUGGCUGCCCCACUUGGCCUCCAGAAAAGCCCAAAUCUUCCUGUCACAACCAGCCCCAGGGGCAGGAGGCGCUGCUGUCCCCAGACUUCCGAGCCCCAAGCUGACGGCCCUCUGAGUCACAGCCAGCAGCUUUAGCAUUUGCCCUCGGGGGUGGGGGAUGGGGGCGAGGGUCGGUGGAGCUGGAGAGACCUGGAGAGACGGAACCAGGUUUUUCUAUCAGGCAGGCCUGAAGGGUUUGUGGGAGGAAAUGAGGAGGAAAAAAAUGAGGCCGGAUGGACUCAGGUGGGGAAGCUACUUUGAGGGAGGUGGCCACCCUCCUGGCCAACUCGCCAAGUCCCCUGGCCUGUCUCAGCAAGUGCCAUGGGCUUGAUGCUGAGAAAAUGUUUGAUCAUUCAUCUGACAGGGGUCUCCUUUGUGCUGGGCCCUGUGUCCUGUGAUGGGUGGGUGGGGAGGUGGCUGUGGAAAGGGCCGAGCAGAUGAUUCUGUGACUCCUGAAUGGAUGCAUUAAUUACCUACCGCUGCGUAACAAAUCACCCCAAAUGCAGCGACUGGAAACGGGCGUGUUUGUUUCUGCGGCUCAGGAACUCCGGAGUGACUCAGCUGGGUCGUUCCGGCUCACGGCUCGGUCCCAUAUGGCGGCCAUCGAGAUGUCAGCCGAGGCCGUGGCCUUGUUUGAAAGCUCUGCUGGGCUGGAGGACCCCCCUUGUGUGACAGUGCCCCACACCGCUUCUGGCCGGAGGCCUCAGUGUCUCCUCACACGGUUGUCCAGAAGGCUCCUUGAGUGUUGUUUUAUGCAGCUCCCCCUAGGGUGAGUCAUCGGAGAGAAAGACCAAAGUAGAAACUAGGGUGACUGUGACCACCGGGUCUCUGAUAUCCCCCACCGUCACUUCUGCUUUGGGCUCGUUUGUUAGCAGCAAGGCACUAAGACCAGCCCACGCUCAGGGGAGGGAGAUUAGGGUCCACGUCUUGAAGGAAGAGCAUCAAAGAAUUUGUGGGCGGAGUUUAAAACCAUGACAACAGGAAAAUGGAUGGUGCACCCGCUCUUCUUCCCUGAUGCUGGAAUCUUAGAAUACUCUCCGACCACAGCUGUUGGUGAAAUCCCCCUGGGACACUUGUAGCUGUCCAAACCCCGGCCCCUCUUACUGAGCUGGUCUGAGCCGGGACUUGGACAUGUGUGGUUUUGUUGUGUGGAAUAAUUUUUAUUUAAAUGUUUGUUUAUUUCAGAGAGAGAAUGUGCACGCAGGGAAGGGGCAGGGAGAGAAGGGGACAGAGGAUCUGUGCUGCCAGCACAGAGCCCGACGCGGGAUUCAAACUCAUGAGCCGCGAGGUCGUGACCGAGCGGAAGUUGGAUGCUUAACUGGCUGAACCACCCAGGCGCCCCUGUUGUGUGGAAUGCUCUUAAACUUUAAGCGUGACGUUUAUGUUUCCGCUGCAUUAUUUUUUUAUUGUGGUAAAAUGUGCAUGACGUAAAACGGACCAUUUUAGCCGUUUCUGAGUGUGCACUUCGGUGGCAAGAAGUACAUUCACGUUGUGGUGCAACCGUCACCUCCAGAAAUGUUCACCUUCCCGAACUGAAACUGUACCCCUUAAACGCUGACUCCCCACCCUCCCGCCUCCAGCCCAUAGCGGCCCCCGCUUUCUGUCUUUAUGAAUUCAACUACUCGAGACCUCAGAGGGCUCCCUUGUGUCUGGCUUGACCCAGCACAGUGACUUCCAGAGCUCAUGCACGCGGUACGCGUCUCAGGGUGGCAUUCCCCUCAUGGCCGAAUAGCGUUUCAUUGUACGGACCACACUGUGUUUAUCCGUCGUUCGGCGGUGGACAUUGGGCUGGUUUUCACGCUGGUAUUUUUAAGGCUCCGGAGUGAUACUCAUGACCCAUCAGGGAUGAAAAUCGAGGUCUUAGACCAGUGGUUCUUAAGCCUGGCUGAGCAUCCAAAUCACCUGGUAGCUUUUAAAAAAACAAGCCAAUGCCUGGUGAGCAUCACAGACCUGCAGACCAGCUGAAUUGGAUUCUCUGGAGGGGGACCCCGGAGUCUGCAAGAAUCUGCAGUUACUUCCAGAAGGCCAGGGUGUGAAGACUCAUUUCCAGGUCUCUGCUGCCCCCUGGUGGC